UAUAUAUAGCAACAUACUAAAUAUGUACGCCCGACAAAAUAUUAAAUUCAGGUAGUUUUUUUUUUUGUUUUAGGUGUAAUUUAAUUUUAUUUAAGAAAUAUUGAUGUUCAAAGUAGAAUAGUUAGUUUGUCCAAUAUUUGUCCAGUUCGUGAGAUUUUUUGAAUUCUCUGUUCAACGGUAUUUUCAUGUUUCUCUUCUUAUGAAAGCGAUGACGGAGGCGCAUUUCUUUUCCGUUCAGAUGUACUAUAAUAAUAAAUAUUCAACAAUAUGAAAUUCAGUAUGAAUUUGACGACGGGAAGGAGUGUGUCGCUGUCACCUGUUUUACCUACAUGUUAUUGCGAUCUUUUUGUCAUGGACUAGAGGAACACAGUUGAAUUCUAGAGCUUGAGAAAGCAACAAUAAAGUUGCGAAACGUCGCUCAUAGAAGAAG